GACGAACGCUGGCGGCGUGCUUAACACAUGCAAGUCGUACGGUAAGGCCCUUUCUGGGGUCCACGAGUUGCGUACGGGUGAGUAACACGUGAUUAACCUGCCCACAACUUUGCGAUAACGCUAGGAAACUGGUGCUAAUACUUGGUAUGUGCCCCUGCUCCCUGGUGGGGGUUCGAGAGCUCCGUCGGCUGUGUAUGGACUUGCGGCCUAUCAGCUUGUUGGUGGGGUAGGGGCCUACCAAGGCGGCGCCGCGUAGCCGGCCUGGGAGGGUGACCGGCCACAGUGAGACUGAGAUACGGACCAGACUCAGACGGGAGGCAGAAGUGGGGAAUAUUGAACAAGGGGCGCAAGCCUGAUGCAGCAACGCCGCGGGCGGGAGGACGGCCUACGCGUUGUAAACCGCUAGCAGCAGGGACGAAGCUUAUUGUGACGGUACCUGCAGAAGAAGCACCGGCUAACUACGUG
rnacentral:rRNA from 1 species